rnacentral:rRNA from 1 species
AUUGAACGCUGGCGGCAUGCCUUACACAUGCAAGUCGAACGGCAGCGCGGGGCAACCUGGCGGCGAGUGGCGAACGGGUGAGUAACAUAUCGGAACAUACCCUAGAGUGGGGGAUAACGUAGCGAAAGUUACGCUAAUACCGCAUACGCACUAAGGUGGAAAGUGGGGGAUCUUUGGACCUCAUGCUCAUGGAGUGGCCGAUAUCUGAUUAGCUAGUUGGUGAGGUAAAGGCUCACCAAGGCGACGAUCAGUAGCUGGUUUGAGAGAACGACCAGCCACACUGGAACUGAGACACGGUCCAGACUCCUACGGGAGGCAGCAGUGGGGAAUUUUGGACAAUGGGGGGCAACCCUGAUCCAGCAAUGCCGCGUGAGUGAAGAAGGCC